UGAGAAGCCACGCUCCUGUUAGCAAAGGAGUGGUUUGGGGGCUUCCUGAGAAUUCCAUUUACCUGGGGUGAUGGUUCUCAACUGCGGGUGAUUUUGGCCCCCACCCAGGGGGCCUCUGGCAGUGUCUGGAGACACUUUUGGUUGUCACAACUGGGGGAGUGAUGCUCCUGGCAUCAAGUGGCUAUAAGCCAGAGCUGCUGCCACAUUCUACGAUGCCCAGACAGCCUCACAGUAAAGAACUACAUGGCCCCAAAUGUCAAUAGUGCUGAGACUGAGGAAUCCCCGUCUAGGACCCCGGCCCUAGCGGAUGACGGACCUUGUCCAUGUGGGAGGUCCAGUCUCCUGCCUUUGUUCAGCCUGUACCCUCAGCUGGAAGUCCUUGCCUCCACCAUCACAACCUAUUCGCAUCUUUCUCAGCGUUCAAGGUCGAUCUCCAUUCCCACCUAUGCGAGGGAGCCUUCCUGACCAUUCCCAGGCAGGUGUCAUUGCUCCUCCUCUGAGCCUUCAUGGUGCUCGCAGGUCUUGUCUCGGCCAGUCUUGCAGUAGUUAUGGGCGCGCUGCCUCAUCUCCCCCCCUGCACUUCAUUCCUCGAGUGGUGCAAUGGCAAGAAGCUAGCGUGCCUUCGGAAUCAGGCAUCAGUGGGUUCAGAGUGUGCCUGUGAGAACCUGUGACCUUGGGUGGGGAACUCACGGAACUUCACUUUUCUGUCCAUAUACUGGCAGCUAACAUGGUGGACCCUGUGCUGUGUGCCAGGUGCUGAUCUCAGUGCUUUGCAUGUGUUAAGGCGUGCGGUCCUCAGAGGCCUGCGAGGGAGUGCUGUGGCCAUUUCUGCUUCGCGGUUGAAGCGAACUGAAGCACAGAGCUUACCUAACUACCUUGCCUGAGGUCACCUGGCCAGGAAGUGGCACUGCCAGGAGCUACACGCGGGUGGUCUGGCCCCAGAGUCCCCCAGUUCCCUAGAUCUGUCCACUGACAGUGACGCGCCUGCAGCAAUGUCCACACCCAGCGCCCAGGGCUCCUGGGAGAAAUGGCUGUUUUCACGCCCGGGGCAGGGAACAUACAAGAUGAUCCUGGAAUAUCCUGUGCCACAAAGAAUGAUGAAGUCAUGUCAAAAAGAUGCAAGCCAGCUUGAAGGGGCUCCUGCUCGCUAAACCUAGGACAACUUAAGCAUCAAAAUAAUGGUAAUAAAGGAUUAUAAACAUGAAAUAAAGUAGGAAACCAUGAGUCCAGACUGAUAUAAAUAAAUACGUUGAAAGUUUGAGGAACAACAGGUAUUUAAGUAGUUUUCAAUACAUUCCCCAUAAAAUACUUAAUAAUUACAAAGAAGGAAGAAGAAACUACAUGGAGAAGCCUGUUGGACACCACCCUAAUCAAGUGAUCAGAGUGAUCCUCAUCAAUAGUGGGACGAAUGGAAAUCUUGAGCCACCUAAUGGGAUGCAAUGAGAAGAGCCCAGCAUCACUUCCGUGAUAUUCCUAUCAAAGAUGUAUAACCUGAAUUUUGACUUUUUUUGUGUGUGUGUGUGGUGAGGAAGAUUGGCCCUGGGCUAACAUCUGUUGCCCAUCCUCCCCUUUUUGCUUGUGGAAGAUUGUCCUUGAGCUAACAUCUGUGCCAAUCUUCCUCUAUUUUUGUAUGUGGGAUGCUGCCACAGCAUGGCAUGAGGAACAGUGCCUAGGUCCGUGCCCAGGGUCCAAACACACAAACCCUGGGCCACCGAAGCAGAGCAUGUGAACGUAACCACUACGCCACCACACCGGCCCCUGAAUUUUGACCUAAAAAAAUAUUUAUUUUUUAGGUGAUCCCACAAGGAGGAAACAAUCAGACAAAUCCAGGCUAUGAGACAUUCUAUAAGACAAGCAGAUGGGACAGCUGGGGAGAGGCGGGGAGAGGAUGUCAUCAGGCACCUGGGAGGGAGUGGGCAGUCCCGUUACAUACACACUGCACCCUAUUACAGCCCUGCAGACUUUUUGUAGCUGAGGAAACUGAGGCACAGGGAGGUGAAGUCAAUUCUUCAAGGACCCAGCCGCAGACCCUGGAUUGGGCUUGUCUUCAAAGCCCUCACUCCCAUCUGCAGGCCGAUUCUGGAAUUGAUGGUUGGAGCAAUUUUGGGUGGCGGAUGGGGCACAGGCAAGACAUGACUGAACUUUUUGGCUGGGACUGGCACAGGGCAGGCAUUUACUCGACAUUUGUUGGUGGAUACAGGGCUCUGUGCUCCCGGGCCAGAGGCCGGCUUACACAGGUAGAACAUGCACAAAGAGGAUUCUAGACGCAUCCCUGCUGGGGGGCAGCCAGGGCUGAGAGCCCGGGCUGUGGGCCCAAGGGCCUGGAGGAACAGGGUGCCUUCUGUUUGACCUCAAGGAGCAGCUGCCACCUUCUCCCUCCCACUUCUCUAUCAAGGCCUGUAGCAGCAAGAAAAUUGUAGUCUCAUUACCCAGUGACCCGAGAAGCACAAUUAAGCUGAAAAUUAGUUGGCAUAAUUAAUUAGAUGGGUAAAUAGCUCCCUGUCAACACCAAUCAAUCCAUUCUGCAUAUAAUCAGCUCGGCACCGGCAGGAAGGAGCUCCUGCAGCUGCUGCUUCUGCUGGUGGGCCAGGGCCUGGGGGGAGCGGAAAUGGGCACCAGGGGACAGGAUGUGCAGCCAGGUACGCUACACCCCACCCACCCACCCCCAGGACCUUCUACAGUUGCUUUUCAUGGGAGCAGUUGCUCCCGGCUAUCCUCAGUGAGUCCCUCAUUGGUCCCCAGCAAAACCACGGCUUAAUUCCCAGGGGCCUGCAGCUGGAAAGUCCCUUUGCUUUCUCAAGUUUUUUAUUUUCGAGUUCCUGGUUCAUUGCUCAAGAUUUCCGACAUCAUUAAAAACCAUGGGAGCUCCCAUUUUUUUUAGCUAGUAAAUUUGCAGAAGCUUUUCUUAAAUUAAGGUAUAACUUAGAUGGGGUAAAAUUUACCCGUGUUACUAUAUGAACUCCAUGAGUUUUGAGAAAUGCAUACAGUUGUGUAACUACUACCACGAUCAAAUAUAGAAUAUUUCCAUCACUGUAAAAAAUCCCCACUCUCUUCUGUAGUCAACUGCUUCCCCCACCCUCAGCCCCUGGCAACCACUGAGCAGUGUUUGCUUAUUCCAGAAUGUUCUAUAAGUGGAAUCCCAUAGUGUGAGCCUUUUGUGCCUGGCUUCUUCCGCUUAGCAUAACGCACUUGGGAUUCAUCCAUAUUGUGGCAUGUGUCAGUGGUUGGCUACUCGUUAUUGCUAAGUAGUAUUUUAUUGCAUGGAUGUACCACAGUUUAUCUGUUUCCCAGCUGAAGGACGCUGGGCUGUUUCUAGUUUUGUGCAUUUAUGAAUAAAGCCACUAUAAAUACUCAUAUGUAGGUUUUUGUAUGAACAUAAGUUUCCAUUUCACUUAGAUAAAUACCCAGGGGAGAGGCUGCUGGGUCUGCAGUAGGUGUGUAGAUCACUUUAUAAGGAACUGCCAAACUGCUUCCUGAAGUCCUGUACCCUUUUCAUGCUCACCAGCAAUGCAUGAGACUUCCAGUAGCUCUGUACCUUUGUUAGAGCACAGACUUUAAAGAUCAAUAGGGCUGGCACAGUCGUGCAGUGGUUAAGUUCGUACUUUCCGCUUUGGUGGCCCGGGGUUCGCUGGUUUGGAUCCUGGGUGCAGACCUACGCACCUGUUGUCAAGCCAUCCUGUGGCAGGCGUCCCACAUAUAAAGUAGAGGAAGAUGGGCACAGAUGUUAGCUCAGGGCCAGCCUUCCUCAGCAAAAAGAGGAGGAUUGGCAGCAGAUGUUAGCUCAGGGCUAAUCUUCCUCAAAAAAAUAAAAAAAGAAUUAAAAAAAAAUAAUAAUAAUAAAAAGAUAAUAUCCAUUCCUGGUGACAGCAGGGCCGACUCCACAAUUUGCAGGGCCCAGUGCAAAAUGAAAACGUGGGGCCCUUGUUCAAAACAAAAGGAAGAAAGUGCCAUAGAUGGUGUUGAAAUAGAAAGCUUUUUCCCUUCUCCUGUAGUCUUUCUCUCAGCUUCUCAUAGUGUUUUUUAAUUUGCUCUUUAAUGUUGUUAAGUAAAGAAAAAUUAAACAUUAGAAUUAUUAGCAUGAAUUUUAUCUUUCAUUUUUAUAUUGUGCAAUGUCAUUUUAAAUGCAAAUAUGAGAGCUUUUAACUUGUAUGUAGAAUGGGUGAAAUUACACAGUCUGUGUUUUGUUUGUACACGCAUCUGUAUUUCGUUCUUACUAGAAAGUGGAAAUACUCCACUGUGUUUAUUUCACUUCCUAACGUGCGCACAUUCUACCCUAUUCUCUACCUUUGGCUCACUGAUGAGUAAGGAAGGACAGAAAAGAGAAGGCACUAUCUUCUUUCUCUUUCCUUCUAUGUCGUCGUUUUCAGCAUGAAGUGGUUGGCUAAUACAGGGAAGUCACACGAGUAAGAAAGCAUGUGGCAGAAGUCCUUGGUCGUUUAUGUCCUUUGAACGCCAUUGCCUUUUUCUGCAUUUGAAGCAAAUUCUGGUCCCAACAGAAAGUGUGACAUCUUGGGUCUGUUAUCAGCCCCACCUAGUCAGAGAUGUAAGACACUUACUUUGUCUUCACUGUGUCUUGCUGACCUCCCACGCGGCGUGGGUCCCCCCAGUUCAGCGCUCACAGGGCACGGUGAACACCAUAUGUGAGUGGUCAGCAAGGAACUGUGGACUGGCAUAGUGCGUGCAUCUCUUCUGCUCCCUCCACCGAUGGAGUUCACUUACAAAACCCAAGUUCAACGAUCAAAUCGUUGAGAAUUUCAAGAUGGUGACGGCAGAGCAUUACACCAAGUGUGGGACCCUUCUGAGCACGUGUGACCGCAUAGGUUGCACAUCCAUGAAGCCGCCCUGGGUGAACGUAUGGAGAAAAGUUUUUUCAUAUAAGCAUUAUUUGUGAAACCAAAAUAAGAUGUAUUUUGUAAUACAAAAAGAAUUCAAUCCCUGAAAUCCUAUCUAAUUACAUUAUUUGGGCCAGUGUUCUUCAGAUGUUUAUUUUGCUUGUGCUUUGUCUUUCUGAUGAAAUUGUCCUUUCUCUAGAAUGAAGAUGAUAACGUCUGCUCUUUCAUUACAGCACAGCCCCUGGCCCAGGCCAGGACCGCCAUGGGAACUCACGAAGUUCUGGCUCGUUUUCAGGGAAGUCCACUGCACUGGAAUAAGCUGCCUGUGCCAGCCCAGCUUUGUGUGGGAGCAGGAGUGGGAGCAAGAGGACUGGGGUUCCCCCAUUUCUACCACCUCCCCCGCCCCUCCCCUACAUAGCUGAGAGUGAGUGGGGAAGGAAGGUUGAAGAUAUCAGCUGUUAAAGGAAGGAAUUUAUAAGUAGCUCAUCUUUCUUUAACCACUUAGAAAUGGUUCUCAUGAAUUUCACAUAACCCUGGGUGCAGGUCACCCAGUGGUCAGAACCCGCCCACGGUGGCCAUCAGGCUGGACGGGAUCAUCAGAAGGCCCCUCCCUCCAAGCUGGGCUGGGAAAAUUUUCUCCUCUACAGGAAUCCACUCAGUCUCCUUUCUUCUGAAAAUAACUCUAUUGGCUUUAGCCCUUUGUUUUGUGAAUAUGACAUGUUCAUUAUAAAAAUUUGGCAAAAACAAAUAAAAUAAAACGCAUUCAUAUGAUAGGAAAAAAAUCAAGCAUCUUCCAUAGUCACAGCACUAGAGAUGGUAAUUUUUAACAUUUUCUUGGGUGCUGUGGCAACAGUGUAGAUUAGAUCCUGGGACCCACCACAGCUUAACUCUGGGGAGGGAAGAAGGAGUGAUGUGAUGAUAUGAUAAGAAGGACGUAGCAUCUCCUUUGUAGCACUUACGCAGUGUUUGUUUACCUACUUAACAUCUCUUAAUUAGGGAGGAACCAAUUCUGUCUCCAAAGUUCACCACUUUGACCCCAGCGGCUAUCCCACUGUUGGGUGGGAGGGGCACCUUCCAGCAGCCCCUAUCCCAAGGGAAAGCAGAAAUACCAGCUUCAGCCACUUCUGUAGACCUAAUGGGCUGUAUUCCUUCUACAUCUCCCCCCACCCCCCCACACACUAGCUAAUUGCCUCUUUCUGCAGAGAAAAGCAAUGUUCUAGAAGAUUCCCACCUGCACCCCUCUUUGGCUCUGGUGACUUAAAGAUUGUAAGGCUGAAUCAGCUCACUGGGGCCAACGCCCUGCUUCCCUUCAGUGAGCAAAGACCUGCUCUGUGGUGAGUGUGUGUGAUAAUUGGGGAUAGAUUUCUUUUCUUUUUUUUUUGUGAGGGAGAUUGUUGCUGAGCUGACAUCUGCACCAAUCUUCCUCUAUUUUAUGUGGGAUGCCUCCACAGCGUGGCUUAACGAGUGGUGCUAGGUCUAUGCCCAGGAGCCAAACCUGUGAACCCCGGGCUGCUGAAGUGGAGCCCCUGAACUUAACCAUUGAGCCACCCGGCUGGUCUGGGGACAGAUUUCUGAAUAGAAAAAGACCCUGAGACUCAGGAUAGAAACGUCAUAUCAUUCAUAGAUUCCACAAACACUCACUGAGUGCCUCUUAUGCACAUGUGCGUGAGGUGCUGGAGGGGACCCAGACCUCCCAGCAAAUGCCACUUGGUAAUCAGACUUUCUCCUUUUGGCCACCAGACUGUCACCUACAUUAGUUGAAGCCUCUAAGCCUUAAAUUAUGAGCCAGAUGAUGUGACUUUGCCAUAAUGUAGUUGUGGCAAUUUCAGGCACAAAUGUUAUCUUUGAAAUACAGGUGUGGGAGUAGAUUUUAAUGAUAUGAUUUGAAAGGAUUGAUGUUCAAGCAGCCCAGCCCCUGGCUGCCUCAGGGAGGAACCACGACACCCAUGAGACCUGUGAAGAAGGGGGCCUCAUGGCUCUGUGUCUCAACACAGCCGGGGGAGCCAGGACACUCACUGUGACCCCCUGACAUUGCCAUUACACCUGUUGGAACUGUGGACAAAACCAUGGCCCUGUUCCAGAUCUAAACCUGGAAGGAGAGGCCCGGCUCCUUGGGGCCCCAGGGCUGCUGGGACCACACCCACUACCCUCAUCUGUCUCACCUGUCGCAGGGGGUGGAGUGGGAGGGCCCUGAGAGGUGAGUGCUGUAACCCUUUCCUUCCCUCAGGGUAGGAGACCUUGCUGUGCUCCCCACACCGCAUGUGGAGCGUGGGCGAUGGACCUUGGAGCCCGUUCCCGGCCAGGUCACGGAAAGGCCUACCUGGUCACUGAAAUCAGAGCCCACACACCUUUGGAAUGUGGAGCCAGGUCUUUGAUCAGAGUAAAAGCUGAGGAUAUAGAAAUGAACCAACUGCAGGUCUGCCCUCAAAGAAAGACGUGCAGUUACAGUGGAAUGUGAGGAGCGCUUCCUGUCAUCAUCAAAUGCCGGUGGGCCCGCCGUGGGCUCUGCACAGCCUACAGCUUGGCCCCCGCUGUGGAGGGGCCUACACUCCACUGGGAAAGACAGCAAAGGAGGAGUCACGACCUCCAACCUCCAGCUGGGAUGAGUGUUAAGGUCAGGGGAGCAAGAGCUGUGAGAAUACAGAGCCGGGUGUCCUGGCCCAGCCCAGGGCUGGAGGCGUGGUGAGGACCUCAAAGAGACAAGUUCCAGAGGGCAGGCCUCGGCGCUGGGGCACAGGGUGACUUCCUCCUGAAGCUGUUAGGCAGGACACAGACAAGCCCAGAUUAAUGCCUGUGACAGAGGCCUCUGGCCACAGUGUGGAGAAGAGCAAGAGGCCCUCAGGGAACAUCCGGGCUGGCAGGGGUCAGGCCUUCCUUCUUCUCUGUGCUUCGUCAGCACAGUCAGAGCAAUGACUCUCAGACGCUUCCACAACAGGCUGACUCACACGGUGCGGUCCGCUCGUCCAGUCACAAAUGGAGCUGGGAGGACGUGGCCUUUCGCUGCCCUGGAUAGAUGACAAAAGAACUGUUGGCUGUUCCUCCCGCCCUGCACUCGGCCUCCCUGAACUUGCCCAGCUGGCUGCACCCUCGCUUCUGGCUUGUCACAGCCAGAAUACUGAGAGGAGACACGUGGGCCACAGCGGGGUCCUACACCACCCCCAGUCCUGGUUGGGAAGGGGCCAGGCCUGGGAACCCUUUGCUGCCUCUCAAAGUACCACAGGAGAACUUUCUCCUGAAAUGGGGCCUUUCUGCCCAGCCUCCUUCUUUCCCCAAUAACCUCUCCCCUCACCUGCCCUCUGGACUCCCUCUAGAGUUUUAUUUUUUUUUAAGCAGAGAGGACUGGAAAGCUGAUGAGAGUCACAGUGAGCAUGGAUUCUGGAAGCCACUCACCCUGACUUCCCUCCCACUGGAGCAGCGACCGCAGAGGACCGUGAGAGGAAAGACAGGCUGUGGGCCGCGGCCAGCUCAGAUGCAGCCCACUAUCGGGUUGUGACCCCCGCCGAGCCGAUGGAGACAGUGACCCGUGGGUGGGAGGGAAGCUCAGGGAGAGGUCAGGGGUGAAAACAAAAGUCCCAGCUCUUAACACCCGUGAACACCCCCAACACAGACAAAUCUUGGAGCUUCUGGGGGUGAAACAGAAAACCUGCCCAAAUUCAGGACAGAACAUAGUUUCAGGCUGUCCACAAGCUCCUUAGACUUCCACUGUCAACAUGCACAGGAAUGUUUGCUACUGUAUUUGUUCCUAACUGGGAAGAAUUCGAUGUUCUAGAAUUAGAAGGCCUAGAGCAGCUCGGGCUCCAUCACUAAGGACCACAGACUGUGGGGCUUAAACAAGAGAAAUUUGUUCUCUCACAGUUCUGGGCACUGGGAGGCCCAGAUCAGGGUGUUAAAAGGGUUGGUUUCUUCUGAGUCCUCUCUCGCGGCUUGCAGGUGGCCGUCUUCCUCCCGCGUCUUCACAUGGUCUUUUUUGUUGGCGUCUGUGUCCUGAUCUCGUCUUCUCAGAGACAGUCUGUUGUGGUUAGAAAGAACAGGAAGAUCUACGUGUAUUGGCAGGGAAAGAGUUUCCAGCUAUUGUUGAGUGGGGAAAGUCAGUCACAGGACAAUAUGUUGAGGGGCGAGGGUGGGAAGAGUGCUCAGUUCUUCACUCUCUCCCUCGCCCUGGCUUUACAGCCUCUCCCACCGUGGGCCGAGUACAUUUCCCAGCCCCAGGGAUGUUGAACUUGGCCAGGUGACUUGGUUUGGCCAAUGGAACUCAACGGAGGCACCCAGAGCAGACACCUUCAAUGUGCUUACUUGGCAGAGCUUGGUCUCUUGGGAUGCUGUGACCCCCAGUGAGAAGAAUACAUCCCAGGGAAAGGCUGGUCCAAGGAGAACGUGGAGAUGUGACAAGCAGAACUGAGCCCAACCUCAGCCUGGAGCUAGCCCAGUAACUCACAUACCCAGGAGCAAGAAAAAUACACACUUACCUGGAAAGCAUUAUGCUGAGUGAAGUCAGCCAGACACAAAGGACCAAUAUUGUCUGAUUCCAUUUGUGUGAAAUAUUUAGAAUAGGCAAAUCCAUAGAAAGUAGACCAGAGGCUACCAGGGGCUGGAGGGAGAGGCGAAUGGGGAGUUAAUUACUUAAUGGGUACAGAGUUUCGGCUUCGGGGGAUGAAAAGGUUUUCGAAAUAGUUGAGACUUGCACAACAUUGAGAAUGUACUUAAUGCCACUGAACUGGGCACCUAAAAAUGGUUAAAAUGGUAGAUUUCGUGUUAUAUAUAUUUUACCACAAUUUCAAAAAACGAUGUAAUACAUACAGUCAUGAACCACAACGAUGGACCAAAUAUACGACAGUGGUCCCGUAAGAUUAGUACCAUGUAGCCUAGGUGUGUAGGAGGCUCUGCCUUCUAGGUGUGUGUACGUAUACUCUCUGAUGUUCACACGACGACGAAAUUGCCUAAUGACGACGCAUUUCUCAGAACGCAUCCCUGUUGUUAAAUGGCUGUACACAGAAGCCAUUGAAUUGUACGCUUUAAAUGGGUGAAUUGUAUAGGAUGUGAAUCAUAUUUCAAUAAAGCUAUUUUUUAAAAGCACACUUGUUCUUUAAACCAUUAUGUUUGGGGUGACUUGUUAAGCAGCACCAGCGCAGUGUGGGAAUAGCUGACUGAUACAGUUUGUAUGUGUGUACGUAUUUUAUAAUGAGCACACUUAUUUGCGUAAUACAAAAUGUACAAAAACGGAGUUUAUUGGGUUCCCCCAAACAGGCCCCCUCUUUGCUGUCUUCCUGCCUGGUGGUAGCACCGGAUGUUUCUGGACCUUGCUCAUCCUAAUUUGGAGUGACUUUGCUUCCCUCUUUGUGCUUGGCAGUUAAGCAGACCCAAGGCCUGGCUGCUCUUGUAGACUCUGUCUCCACGUGGCUCCCUCCUCUUGGUCUCUGCAACCAUCUCCCAGGACCUACUUUCAUCACCCUCGGCCAGGACUGUUUCAUGGGUUUCCCAGGUGGUCUCGCUGCCGGGGUCCAUCCAGUGCCAUGGGAGACGGCUAACUCACAAGUUUCCAUUAAGUUACUCUGCUCAGGCAGCCCUGAGCCCUCUACACACACACACACACACACACACACACACACUCUCACGCUCAUACACUUACCUUCUGUAAAAUGGGCUUACAACAACCUCUACUGCCUAUCAGAUCAAAUCUAAGCCCCAUCAAACGUCACUUGGACAUGUACCCCAGAGGUCCAUAAAAAUGUCCUAAUAUUGAUCAAGUGGAACACAAGCUGCUGUCGGGGGGGUCAGGCCAUGGCUCAUUUCUGAUCUCCCCUUUCCCAUGUGCUCUUCUGCCACCUUCAGGAUCUCACUACUUGGGUGCGAAAACCUCCAGCACUGCAAAUAAAGGGAAUGUUCGACUGAAAACACUGGUUUACAAGUUGAGACAGUGAAAGUCUCUAAUGACCAAUGACUGUGGCUUCCAAUUCAAAACCGGAAGAGGACCUAACCAGCUGAUAGAGGGAUGAGAAGUGACUUUUUAGGAUAUAACCUGAAAUUGUUGUUGUUGUUUUUUUUUUUGAGGAAGAAGAUUAGCCCUGAGCUAACAUCUGCUGCCAAUCCUCCUCUUUUCGCUGAGGAAGACUGGCCCUGAGCUCACAUCCGUGCCCGUCUUCCUCCACUUUAUAUGUGGGACGCCUACCACAGCAUGGCUUGCCAAGCGGUGCCAUGUCCACCCCUGGGAUCUGAACCGGUGAACUCCCGGCCGCCAAAGUGGAAUGUGCGCACUUAACCACUGCGCCACCAGGCCGGCCCCCUGAAAUUAUUUAAGGAAUUAAGUUUUAGUACUGAAACAAAACUCUUUCCAUUCUUUUUUACUUCAUGUGAACAAAGUUUCUCAACAUUUUUACAUCUGUAAAUACAAAAAAUAUGAACAGAAUUCAUGCUGAACCCCACCUCAUUCUAGCAAAAAGUAAUAGCUGGUGACCCACACACGAACGAAGUGGGAUUAGAAAAUCGCAUCUAUCUCGCGGGUAUUUGUUUUUGAUAAAAUUUUAUGUUUUUCCAUUUAAUAAUUAUUCUUCAAAUCUAUAAAUA
ensembl:lncRNA